UUAGCAUUCAUAAAAACAUGGUGUUCUGUCUCUCCCAUUGUCUGUGUGUGUGUGAUAAAGAUCAUGUUCAUUCCUGCAUGGACGUCUCCCAGAAGAGAAGUGCGCACUUCUCUCCCGAAAGAGAAGUGAAUCAGCGAACGGACAGACACUAGGUCCAAUUGUUUUAGAAAGCGGACAUACACAUUUACAACGGUCUAAUCUGGCUCAUGAGCAGAAGAAUGAGGCGAGUUCCCAUAUCAACAAACACGAAAACACAGACAGACAGCAGACACGAGCAGAGAACGACUGGAAACUGGAAAAUUCCCUCUCUGGACUUUUCCCAUAAGCCCUCCCAUGUUCAACAGACCAGACUGACACAAGGAUGAAUUCCUUUUAACACAUGCCAGACGCCAUGGUUACGCUGACUUCGGCUCAAGACUGCGAUUCCCAUCAGCCACUGCACCUGCCUGGACCAUGUCAUGUGACUGCACCUGAAUCACCUUUUUUUGGGUUAACAAAAAGGGAGAGCUUGUAUUUUAGUCUUGUCUUCCGCAGAACACGUUUUCUAGCGUUUUGUCUUUUGUUGUUGGUCCGCAUGCUUCAUGUUUUGUUUAACUUAAUCUGCACUUGCGCCGGCUUCCUCCACGAAUCCCUGACAUGUGAUUUUAUUCUUCAGAUGUGUUUUUUCACAUGAAUAUUUUUUUUACACGAUCACACACUGAUUCCAUUGAUCCGAUUUCAGGGCAUGGUAUGACCACAUUCCCUCCAUAAGUAUUGGAAAGGCAAGGCCGAUUCUUUUUCAGUGCUGUACACU